UUGACCUCGGAUCAGGUAGGGAUACCCGCUGAACUUAAGCAUAUCAAUAAGCGGAGGC
rnacentral:rRNA from 1 species